rnacentral:rRNA from 1 species
GCUAAACGCGAAGAACCUUACCUGGGCUUGACAUGCAUCUCUAAGCGCGUGAAAGCGCGUGACCCUUCGGGGGAUUUGCACAGGUGCUGCAUGGCCGUCGUCAGCUCGUGUCGUGAGAUGUUGGGUUAAGUCCCGCAACGAGCGCAACCCUUGUGAACAGUUGCCAGCGCGUGAAGGCGGGAACUCUGUUCAGACUGCCCAGAUCAACUGGGAGGAAGGUGGGGACGACGUCAGGUCAGUAUGGCCCUUACGCCCAGGGCUGCACACGUACUACAAUGCCCAGCACAAUGAGAGCCGAGACCGCGAGGUGGAGGAAAUCUAAAAAACUGGGCCCAGUUCGGAUUGGAGGCUGCAACUCGCCUCCAUGAAGCCGGAAUCGCUAGUAAUGGCACAUCAGCUACGGUGCCGUGAAUACGUUCCCGGGUCUUGUACACACCG